rnacentral:tRNA from 1 species
GGAUUGUUAGCUCAAUUGGAUAGAGCAAGGCGCUUUUAACGCCGAGGUUCUGGGUUUAAGCCCCAGGCGAUCCACCA